CACCAGGUGAUUGGUCGAGGCAUAUUUGGGGUGGGGGUGAAGCAAGUGAUGAGCGAGACUUGAUGGCCUAUGAUUGGUCCUGAUGAAGGUAAUUAUUCUCAAGUCGCUCUCUGCUUGAAUAAGUGAAGACCUUCAUGGUUCGAAAGAUGGGCCCAUUGCCUGCCUGAGCCUCUCGCCUGGAGGUCGAAUUCGUCUGUGAACGAAGGUGACAAUGCGUUUCGGAGGCCUGUUGAUCCUCUCAGCUAUAGUGCUGCUGGAGUUGACGAGAUCAGGCUCUGUCAAGAUACAACCCUCAAAGACUUUCGAAUUAGUCCUUACUGGACAAAAGCUUAGUGGGAGUUACACAUCCUUCUCUUCAAAUAAUGUCCAGAGAUGUGCUUCUCACUGUAUCGCCCGUGGCUGCUGGCUGCUGACUUGGGACGUUGCAACGCGCACCUGCAGCCUUCUGGACCCUCUAACUGCCCUGCCAGGAAUCGAAGCAGGACCAUCUACCCUCAGGACGUAUUUCUGCUUAGGCAUGAAUAACGCCAGAGUGAAGAUAUUCCCGGAGAAAAUCACGUGGACCGAUUGCAGAGCAAAAUGUAAGAAUCUGGGAGGGCGGAUGUUUUAUCCACCUGAUUACACUUACGGUGCUGUUUACACUGCCAUUUCUGGCGUUGACAUUUUUCACGUUGGGGUGUAUCGCUUUCCUAAUGACACAACCACUUGGUACGAUAUGGACGGACAAGUUAUCUCUCAUCCCUUGCGUUGGUAUUCCGGUGAACCAAACAAUAACGGAGGGGUGGAGUACUAUGUUGCAAUGUUCGGCGGGGACCUAAGAGACAUAGGCACAGAAAAAGUAAAUUGGUAUGCUUGUGCUUGUGAAAUAUAGAUGUACACCGUACAUUUUCAAAGAAAUCCACACUCAUAAGAUUGUAAAAAUUCUAGUGGAAACUAUCACACAUAAGUACAGCCCCUCAUUAUACGUAUGGGUGCGCUUGUGAAGUAUAGCUCCCACAUGGACUGUAAGAGACAAUGUUUAUUUUGUUUCUGUUUUAUUAUCUCUGUGAUUUCUCCCUUCAGGGGUUAGUUGAUGGGAUCUGACCUUUAAUUCGUAAUAUACUGACAGCUCAAAUAGAAAUUAGAUUUACUAAUGAUUGAAAUUGUAAUCACACAUUAAUGUUUAAGAGUAUCUCAGUAUCUGACUUGUAACUUUGUUUGGAAUAAAACUGAGGCAUUUUCCUUUUUUUUUGCUAAUUGCACGACAGUAUCUUGAGACAUGUUUGCGUAUCUAUCAUCCCACAUGUUAUAUACUAAUGUUUGUGGCACUAGGACGGGUUCUAUCUUCAGGGAUACCUAGGUGGUCCUAUACAUUGCAUGUAGUGUUCACACUUUGAAAUCUACCCUAUUGUACUUUAAGUGAGUGUAAUUCUUAUUGUAUUAAGCAAAUGAAUUACUGUUGAAGUUGUUAUUGGAUAGACAGUAUUAUUGAGUCUAUUAUUUACUAUCUUAGUCAAAUGAAUGAGAUUAAUGCUAGAUAGUAUAAUAAAAUUAGUGAUUGACAUAAUGCAGUGAAUGACAGACAUCGUAAUGGUUCU